UACGUAGGGUGCAAGCGUUAAUCGGAAUUACUGGGCGUAAAGCGUGCGCAGGCGGUUCGUUAAGUUCGUUGUGAAAGCCCCGGGCUCAACCUGGGAAUGGCAAUGGAAACUGGCGGGCUGGAGUGUGGCAGAGGGGGGUGGAAUUCCGCGUGUAGCAGUGAAAUGCGUAGAGAUGCGGAGGAACACCGAUGGCGAAGGCAGCCCCCUGGGCCGACACUGACGCUCAGGCACGAAAGCGUGGGGAGCAAACAGG
rnacentral:rRNA from 1 species